GCUUACGGCCAUACCACCCUGAGAACGCCCGAUCUCGUCUUAUCUCGGAAGCUAAGCAGGGUCGGGCCUGGUUAGUACUUGGAUGGGAGACCGCCUGACAAUACCAGGUGCUGUAAGCU
rnacentral:rRNA from 1 species